AACCACCGACGGUAGGUAUGGACAAAUACUGUAUAAAGACUGUGUAUAGGGGUACUGUAUUGUAUGGUAACCACCGACGGUAGGUAUGGACAAAUAAUGUAUAUAGACUGUGUAUAGGAGUACUGUAUUGUAUGGUAACCACCGACAGUAGGUAUGGAUAAAUACUGUAUAUAGACUGUGUAUAGGAGAACUGUAUUGUAUGGUAACCAUCGACAGUAAGCAUGGACAAAUACUGUAUAUAGAAUGUGUAUAGUACUGUAUUGUAUGGUAACCACCGACGGUAGGUAUGGACAAAUACUGUAUAUAGACUGUGUAUAGGAGUACUGUAUUGUAUGGUAACCACCAACGGUAGGUAUGGACAAAUACUGUAUAUAGACUGUGUGUAAGAGUACUGUAUUGUAUGGUAACCAUCAACGGUAGGUAUGGACAAAUACUGUAUAUAGACUGUGUGUAAGAGUACUGUAUUGUAUGGUAACCAUCAACGGUAGGUAUGGACAAAUACUGUUGAUAGACUGUGUGUAGGAGUAAUGUAUUGUAUGGUAACCACCGACUGUACAUGUAGGUAUGGACAAAUACUGUAUAAAGACUGU